CUCCCAGAUCCCCCCGGUGAUGGUUUUGUUUUGGAGAGCCUACAGACUCUCUGUGCAGUCACUAUUCGAGACUGCCGCAAAAAGGUGUUAAAAAGAAUCCCCAAUGUAAAGAAACUCAAGAUUCAUCAGGGGGAACUGGAGAGUUGGUCUGUAAUUUAUCUCAAAAAUCUUGCCUGUUUGCAUAAACUCGAAUCUCUUGAAAUCACUUCUGGUGGCUUUUUUCAAAAAUCAAUUCCGUUGGAGUUUUGGAGCAACCUCGCCCUCCCACAUUCCCUCAAGAAGUUGACUUUGUAUGGCACUCGAAUCCAUUGGGAAGACAUGCCUGCAACGAUAGGCUGGCUACCCCAUCUCCAAGUUCUCAAACUGAAACGAGAUUCUUUCAUUGGAUCUGAAUGGGAAACAGUUGAAAUGCAGUUCUGCAAACUCAAAUACUUGCAGAUUGACGGUUGUGACUUGGUGUACUGGACAACAGAAAGCACCCACUUUCCAUGCCUUGAGCACCUUCAACUUGAACAUAUGAGAUUAGAGGAGAUCCCUUUAUCUAUUGGUGAAAUACCAACGCUUCAGUCAAUCAAGUUGGUUGAUUGCGGCAUUUCUACCGGCGUCUCUGCUACAAAAUUACAAAAAGAUCAACAAGAGAACUAUGGGAAUUAUGACCUUCAAGUUCAGAUAGAAAGAUCAACUAGGCGAACUAUGUGAGGAUGACCCUCAAGUUCUGGUGCAACGGAAUCAGUUUUAAGAUUUUUGGAUGAUUAAAUGGAGCAAGGAUAUAUAAUGGGUUCGUGUAUAUUAAUGUUUUCCUGCCUCAACAGUUCUGGUGUUUAUAUGCAAAAAUACAUUUGAUGAUAGAUUAAUGAUGAUCACAACUUUAGAAAUGCAUGUUGAGAUCGAGGUGCAACCGGAUGAUUGGAGGUGUCCUUGUCGAGAGAACAAUCAGAGAAGUUCUCCCACCCGUGCAGAGGAACAAGGAGGGUCUUGAAGAGGUGAUUGCUCGGCUCAAUGAAGCGUCCGAGAAGAAGAAAAAGGAGCUGGCUGAAUUUGAGUCCAAGUACAAAAUCAGAAUCCGGAAGGGCGAUGGUGAAAUGAAGGAUGAAAGUAAGAAGGAAGGGAACGCGCAGGGCAUCCUCGUUGGCCUUGCCGGAUCGGAUUAAUAGCUGUUGGAGGUAAUAUGCUUCUGUAUCAUCCUUCUUUGUUUUGUCUUUUUAAUAUCUAUGGUGGUGGUGCUUGUUAAGGAUUUUGAAGCUUUUCUUGGGUUAGGACAUGGCAACUUUGUACUGAUUCUAGUGAUGGGAACUUUUGAGUU